UUCUGACAUGUGCUUGGGGCUAAAAAACACUAAAAAAUGUAGUUAUCUUAAUUAAACUUUGGGACAUUGAAACACAGGCCAGGGGAGAUGACCGGAUAGAAAACAUUGUGCUAGUCACUUACUUCCCAGCCUACAAAA